GAUGAACGCUGGCGGUGUGCCUAAUACAUGCAAAUCGAGCGAACAGACGAGGAGCUUACUCCUCUGACGUUAGCGGCGGACGGGUGAGUAACACGUGGAUAACCUACCUAUAAGACUGGGAUAACUUCGGGAAACCGGAGCUAAUACCGGAUAACAUGUUGAACCGCAUGGUUCAACAGUGAAAGACGGUCUUGCUGUCACUUAUAGAUGGAUCCGCGUCGCAUUAGCUAGUUGGUAAGGUAACGGCUUACCAAGGCAACGAUGCGUAGCCGACCUGAGAGGGUGAUCGGCCACACUGGAACUGAGACACGGUCCAGACUCCUACGGGAGGCAGCAGUAGGGAAUCUUCCGCAAUGGGCGAAAGCCUGACGGAGCAACGCCGCGUGAGUGAAGAAGGUCUUCGGAUCGUAAAACUCUGUUAUUAGGGAAGAACAAAUGUGUAAGUAACUAUGCACGUCUUGACGGUACCUAAUCAGAAAGCCACGGCUAACUACGUG
rnacentral:rRNA from 1 species